rnacentral:rRNA from 1 species
AACGAACGCUGGCGGCAUGCCUAACACAUGCAAGUCGAACGAAGUCUUCGGACUUAGUGGCGCACGGGUGCGUAACGCGUGGGAAUCUGCCCUUGGGUACGGAAUAACCCAGAGAAAUUUGUGCUAAUACCGUAUAAUGUCUUCGGACCAAAGAUUUAUCGCCCAAGGAUGAGCCCGCGUAAGAUUAGCUAGUUGGUGGGGUAAAAGCCUACCAAGGCGACGAUCUUUAGCUGGUCUGAGAGGAUGAUCAGCCACACUGGGACUGAGACACGGCCCAGACUCCUACGGGAGGCAGCAGUGGGGAAUAUUGGACAAUGGGCGAAAGCCUGAUCCAGCAAUGCCGCGUGAGUGAUGAAGGCCCUAGGGUUGUAAAGCUCUUUUACCAGGGAUGAUAAUGACAGUACCUGGAGAAUAAGCUCCGGCUAACUCCGUG